rnacentral:tRNA from 1 species
GGGGAUUUAGCUCAAUGGUAGAGCGCUUGCCUAGCAAGGCCCUGGGUUCGGUCCCCAGCUCCG